rnacentral:lncRNA from 1 species
GAAAACGAGAGAAACCACAACACACAAAAUUGCCCAUCCCUAUCACUUCAAAGAUGACCACCUCUGGGGUGAUGAUAUCUGAUGUCAGGGAACUGCCAUCGGAAGGAAGGGAGGUGAAAGGGCUCACACAGGUUGGGAGAGACUCAGCAGCUGAAGAGGGAACCAGUAGGGGGAGAGGAGCUGAGCUGAGGGAAAGUGAGCUGGAGGGAUGGCUCAGAGACACUUCCAGCGAAAACAGUGGGGAGGUUUCAGGACCUCCUGUAGGGACACCCACUCCUCGCCGGAAACUGACACGCAGAGAGUCCAGAAGACGUGUUUCCGUUAAGGAGCUUUUAUGUUGGAAGCGAUUCCGAAAGCAACCACUGUCGGAAUCUGCUAGUGACUAGAGGAGCCAUGUCUGAGGGGCUCCGUCACAGACAGAGGUUUGUGGACUUGAACAAACUCUGAGGGGAUACGAUUUUACGCACAAGCAGCUCAUCAUCCCAUCACAGCAUUCCGACAGUCUUUGAAAGCAGCUUGUGCAGGAGAAGGCAUCAUGAGCAACCCAGCCGGAACCGGAGAAGCAGGAGCUGGAGCGGGUCCAAGCCUGGAAGAAAGGUACCGGGUGUUGGAGGUCCAGCUAGCGCUGCAGACGGCGAGGCUUGAGGAGAGGAGGGCUCAGGAUGCAGACAAAAGGGAAAGCCACCCAGCUCGCCAGAAAGGUACCAGGAUUGGUGCAGAAGUUUGGGGGGGAGCCCAAAGACUAUCAUGGCUUUCGGACAGAGAUGCAAUAUGCCCUCAAUCUGCAGUUUGAUGAAUUCCCUGACGAGGAAUCACGAGUGGCUUUCGUGAUUGAGCAUCUUGAAAAGGGGCGAGAGACUGGGUUAGACCCCUGAUGGCAGCGAAUAGUGACGUCCUAAAGGACACGAUGAAGUUCUUUCGCGCCAUGGAUCUGAUGUUUUCCAGCGAUAUUGAACAGGGAGUGGUGCGCAGACAGUUAAUGGCUUGCAAACAGGGAGCCGAUCUGUCCGUGAGUACUGGACUGAGUUCACCAUGCUGGUUCACAGAUUGGGGUGGGACUUAUCGGCGGAACCCAUUCAAAUGCUCUUUGAAGAAGGGCUUUCUUCGGCUGUGAAAGACGAACUUUCCCGGGCGCCCAGGGCGGAGUCUAUGGACCAGCUGACCAAAUCAGCGCUGACCAUAGGAGCGCGCCAGGAGGCGAGAGCAUUGGAGAGGCGGGAAGGGAAGGGGAACGUUGGAAGGAGUUCCGCAUUCCAGACAUUCCAGAGCCAACUUUCCCGCCGGCAGAGCCGAUGGAAAUCGGAACAGCGCGCGCGCGCAGUUUCAAAGCCCAGUGAGGGGGAAAGAAGGAGGGAAAAGGCGCCCGGAAAUGCUAUCUCUGCCAACAGCCAGGUCACUUUGCCAGAGUCUGCCCCCAGAGGAAGGAAUGGCAAGGGAUGGUAGGAGCUGUGGAGGGAAGAGAGGAAGGAAUACCGGAGCAAGUAAAAGCCAACGCCUGGCUGCCACUGUCGGGGCACAGCAGCCAGGCCAAAGAGCAGUGAGAGUGCCCACGCCAGAACCUCCUAAACCCGCCCUAGUGAUAGAAGUGGCGCUAGAGCUGCCAAACGGACACCCUCUAAAGAUAAAGGCGCUGUUGGACUCAGGCAGCUCCUGCAAUUUCAUGAGCAAAGAGUUUGCAGCUGAACACCAGAUACAGACGAUCCCUUUAAGCAAACCCCUGCAGGUGACCACGAUCGAUGGCAGGGAGCUGUUGGGAGGAGAAGUCAGCUUGCAGACCGUCCCAAUGAUAAUGAAGGUAGCAAGGCACACCGAACUGAUAGCGUUUAAUGUGGCCACCUUGGGAGGAGCUCCCAUUAUAUUGGGGAUGAGCUGGCUAGCGUUACAUGAUCCGCUGGUGGGCUGGCAUCAGAGAGUGGUUUCUUUUGGUUCAGCACAUUGCUUAGAACACUGCAAAGAGGGAAAGGGUUUGGCAGGGGCCCAAGCCACCCUAGCAGGGACUGAAGUAACGGAGAACGUGAAGGUACCACGACAAUAUGCAGAUCUCCGCGACGUCUUCAGCGAAAGGGAAGCUGACCAACUACCCCCGCAUAGACCCUUUGACUGUCAAAUCAAUUUACUCCCUGGGGCACAGCUCCCUGUAGGCAAGCUGUACGCCAUGUCAGACAGAGAGAUGCAGGAGCUAAGAGAGUUCAUUGACAAGAACCUGAAGAGAGGGUUCAUCAGAGAGUCCAGGGCGGUGGGGGGCAGCCCAGUGUUUUUUGUGGAUAAAAAAACACGAACAAGCCGAGGCUGGUGUGUGACUUCAGGGCCUUAAAUGCAGUGUCAGAACCAGUGGCCUUCCCUAUGCCCAGGAUUGACGACAUUUUGACAAGGGUGCGGAAGGGAAAGAUUUUCACAAAGCUGGACCUAAGGGGGGCGUACAACCUGAUACGAAUAAGGAAGGGUGAUGAAUGGAAAACCACCAUGUUCACCCCUUUAGGGGCAUUUGAAUAUUUGGUUAUGCCCUUCGGCCUCCAAGCAGGCUCCGCAUGCUUUCAAUCGUUUAUGAACCACGUCCUGGGGCCUUUGCUUUACAAGAAUUGUGUGGCCUUCUUAGACGACGUGUUGGUGUAUUCUGAGAAUGAGGAGCAGCAUGUGAGAGACGUCAGAGAAGUGUUGAGCAGGCUGCAAGCCAACCAGCUGUGGGUGAAACUGGAGAAGUGUCAGUUUCAUACCAAGGAGGUGGAAUUCCUGGGGUAUCGCCUGUCAGACAAGGGAUUGGCCAUGGAUCCCGGCAAGGUCCAGGCGGUGCUGGAAUGGAAAACACCCAAAACAAGGAAGGAUGUGCAGAGGUUCCUAGGAUUUGGGAACUUCUAUCGUAAGUUCAUCCGAAACUUUGCCCACCUGACGGCGCCCAUUACGGACUGUCUCAGCAGUAAGAAGAAGUUCGUUUGGACUGAGGAGGCGGAGCGAGCAUUUGAGGAACUAAAAGGGCCUUCGCCUCGGAACAACAACUCCUGCAUGUGGAUUUACAAAAACCGAUGAGAGUGGAAACUGACGCAUCAGACAGAGCGAUUGGGGCGGUGCUUCUGCAGCCAGGGAAGGAGGAGUCAGAGUGGAGACCGUGUGCCUUUUUUCGCGAAAGCUGAACAAAUCCGAGAGGAACUACACGGUGUAUGACCGAGAACUACUAGCCAUUCAUGAGGCGUUCCGGAGAUGGAGGCACCUGCUAAUUGGCGCACAACAUAAGGUGCAAGUGUGCACUGACCACAAGAACCUAGAGUAUUGGAGGACGGCACGAGUGCUCAACCAACGGCAAGUGAGAUGGGCCCAGGAGUUCUCCAAAUUUAACUUUGAGAUUUGUUACGUGCCAGGCCCAGAGAACAUUAGGGCGGACGCUCUCUCACGCAAACCUGAAUAUUUGGAGGAGGGAGCACCCGAAGAGAGACAUGUCAUUCCAGAGGACCGCUGGGUGUGUGGGGCGGCAUUGGUGGGACAAAGAGAACUGGUAGAGGAAACAGAGAAUGAUGAAUACGCCCAGAAUAAGCUCAGAGGUCUUAGGGGUGAGGGAGAGGAACCAGGGGUUUCGAGGAAAGAAAUGGAGCUUUGUAUUACAAAGGGGCACUGUAUAUCCCUGAAGGAGACUUAAGGGGAGGGUACUCAAGCAGUUGCACGACAGCCCUACGGCGGGGCAUUUUGGACAACACAAAACCAUGUGGUUGGUCACCAGGGAAUUUUGGUGGCCCAAGGUGAGGGAAGAUGUACGUGAGUAUGUAAGAGGGUGCGAGCAAUGCCAGCGAGCCAAGGGGAAAGGCGGGCGCCGGCGGGGCUAUUAGAACCCUUACCAACCCCAGAACGACCUUGGGAGGCAGUGUCGAUAGAUUUUAUGACUGAUCUGCCGAAGUCCAAAGGGAAAACAGCCAUCAUGGUGGUGGUGGACCUACUAACAAAGAUGUGCCACUUUGUAGCUUGCUCGCAUGCAGUCACGGCGGAAGAGACAGCGAAGUUAUUUGUAGAACACAUUUUUAGGUUGCACGGGGUGCCAUUGAGGGUGGUCUCAGACCGAGGAAAACAAUUUACUUCCAGGUUCUGGAGGAAGCUCAUGAGCUUACUGCAGGUGGAGGUCAAUUUUCGACUGCCCGGCACCCUGAAACCAACGGGCAGGCGGAAAGAGCAAACGGUGUCCUCCAGCAAUACCUGAGGUGUUAUGUCAAUGACAGAGAGAAUGACUGGGUAGAAAAGUUGGCGCUGGCGGAAUUUGCCUACAACAAUGCCGAGAAUGUGUCCACAGGGAUGAGCCCCUUCUUGGCUAAUUAUGGGUGUCAUCCCAGGGCUUUCCCAGGGGAGAUGGGGAGAGAUGGAGCGUCCCGGCAGCCGAGCAUUUUGUAGAAGAAAUGGAAGCAAUCCAUUGUCAGCUCCAACUCAACUUAGAAAGGGCGAAGGAAGAAUACAAGAGGCAAGCAGACAAGAACCGAAGGGAAGGUGAAACCAUAAGGGUGGGAGAUAGGGUGUGGCUGUCAACCCAAGGGUUGCCGUUCAAAGGAGGUUGUAAGAAAUUAAGACCCAGGAGGUUGGGUCCCUUUGAGGUCAUUCAACAGGUCAACCCAGUGGCUUUCAGGCUCCGGUUACCCAACCACAUGAAACUGCACCCAGUAUUUCACAGGUCGUUACUGUCACCGUACGAAGGGGACGAGAAGGGAUGGCCACUCGGGGACCGGUCAUAGAAGAAAGAGAAUGCAGCAGCCAUGUGGCAGAAAUCCUCGACGCCAGGUGGAAGGGGAAUCAGGUGGAGUAUUUGGUAGCGUGGGAAGGAGAACCGGAGUCAGAAAACACUUGGGUAAUGGCCGAAGAUAUCAAUGACGAGGUAUUGAUAGAAACGUUCCAUCAAAGGUUCCCAAGGAAACCUCAGCCUGUGGAGAGGUUCCGGAGGGAAUACUUUGGGACCACUGAUGAGGAGGAGGAGUUGGAAGGCUUCCCGGACUCGGAAGGGGAAGGGAGAUGGACUCUGAGGAGGAGGAGUACUUGAGACCAGGAACCGCAACAGGUGGAGAGAAGUGUUCGAGACAUCGGAAGAUGAAGGAAGUUCAUUCCGGGGUUUUGCCUCCUCACCGCCCGUAGAGGAGGGGGCGAGAGGGGGUGAAGGGGGCCCUGGAGGGGAGGUGGAUGUCAGGGAACUGCCAUCGGAAGGAAGGGAGGUGAAAGGGCUCACACAGGUUGGGAGAGACUCAGCAGCUGAAGAGGGAACCAGUAGGGGAGAGGAGCUGAGCUGAGGGAAAGUGAGCUGGAGGGAUGGCUCAGAGACACUUCCAGCGAAAACAGUGGGGAGGUUUCAGGACCUCCUGUAGGGACACCCACUCCUCGCCGGAAACUGACACGCAGAGAGUCCAGAAGACGUGUUUCCGUUAAGGAGCUUUUAUGUUGGAAGCGAUUCCGAAAGCAACCACUGUCGGAAUCUGCUAGUGACUAGAGGAGCCAUGUCUGAGGGGCUCCGUCACAGACAGAGGUUUGUGGACUUGAACAAACUCUGAGGGGAUACGAUUUUACGCACAAGCAGCUCAUCAUCCCAUCACAUCUGAUAAUGUGAAAUUCCUUGGCCUACGAAGUUGGGUUAUCUUCUGCUCUAUUUGUGUUCUGCCAGGAACUGAAAAGCAUUCCCCUUCAAAGAAGCUUUUGUUUCUGUUGCUGAUUAAUUUAAUUUAUUGAUUGUUUGCUCUUUGCGUUCUUCUUCUUCCUUGAUGCUGC